AGUGUAGCUCAGUGGUAAAGCACCUGCUUAGCAGACACAAAGCCCUGGGUUCAAACCCCAGCACU
rnacentral:tRNA from 1 species